AGGUUACUGCUAUCGGUGUUCGCCUAAGCCAUGCGAGUCAUAUGUUCGUAAGAACAUGGCGUACUGCUCAGUAACACGUGGAUAACCUGCCCUUGGGUCCGGCAUAACCCCGGGAAACUGGGGAUAAUUCCGGAUAACGCACAUAUGCUGGAAUGCUUUAUGCGUAAAAUGGAUUCGUCUGCCCAAGGAUGGGUCUGCGGCCUAUCAGGUAGUAGUGGGUGUAAUGUACCUACUAGCCUACGACGGGUACGGGUUGUGAGAGCAAGAGCCCGGAGAUGGAUUCUGAGACAUGAAUCCAGGCCCUACGGGGCGCAGCAGGCGCGAAAACUUUACAAUGCGGGAAACCGUGAUAAGGGGACACCGAGUGCCAGCAUCAUAUGCUGGCUGUCCGGGUGUGUAAAAUACACCUGUUAGCAAGGGCCGGGCAAGACCGGUGCCAGCCGCCGCGGUAACACCGGCGGCCCGAGUGGUGAUCGUGAUUAUUGGGUCUAAAGGGUCCGUAGCCGGUUUGGUCAGUCCUCCGGGAAAUCUGACGGCUUAACCGUUAGGCUUUCGGGGGAUACUGCCAGACUUGGAACCGGGAGAGGUAAGAGGUACUACAGGGGUAGGAGUGAAAUCUUGUAAUCCCUGUGGGACCACCUGUGGCGAAGGCGUCUUACCAGAACGGGUUCGACGGUGAGGGACGAAAGCUGGGGGCACGAACCGGAUUAGAUACCCGGGUAGUCCCAGCCGUAAACGAUGCUCGCUAGGUGUCAGGCAUGGCGCGACCGUGUCUGGUGCCGCAGGGAAGCCGUGAAGCGAGCCACCUGGGAAGUACGGCCGCAAGGCUGAAACUUAA
rnacentral:rRNA from 1 species